CUGCUUUCAUAGCUCAGAUGGUUAGAGCACCCGUUUAGUAAGCGGGAGGUCUUGAGUUCAAAUCUCAAUGAAAGCACUUUUUUAUCUUUUUUUUGUUUCAGUCACAUGGAUUAUUGAUAUGUGAUGUUAUGAGUAGAAGUAGAAGGGCAAUUUUAAAUACCAUAUACAGCCACGUUGCUUAUUUUGGUGGGAAAUGAUAGUUUAUGAUAUUAAAACGGAACAUAAAUUCAUUUCAUCAAGUGCUUUCAUAGCUCAGUUGGUUAGAGCACCCGUUUAGUAAGCGGGAGGUCUUGAGUUCGACUCUCAAUGAAAGCAC
rnacentral:lncRNA from 1 species